rnacentral:rRNA from 1 species
CUAACAUGUGCGCGNUUCAAUGGGACCUCCUAAUCCCAAAGGCGCAAUGAAANUGAGGGCGGCGCGUUUCGCGCGCGUCGCUGAGGGACGAUGGCUCGGGGGAGAGCGCGCUCUCUUCCCUUCUCGGGCCCGCAAUCCCGGGACGCCGCCGCGGUCUUCGCUUCUGGCGGGGACGGGCGGCGUACNUAGAGCGCACACGUUGGUACCCGAAAGAUGGUGAACUAUGCCUGGCCAGGACGAAGCCAGGGGAAACCCUGGUGGAGGUCCGUAGCGAUUCUGACGUGCAAAUCGAUCGUCUGAGCUGGGUAUAGGGACGAAAG